rnacentral:lncRNA from 1 species
CCAGUCGGGCCAGUCCGCAGUCAGGUCGUCCGGGAAAGGGGCCAUGCCAAAAUCAUCGUCCAGCAAGCGGGUAGACAGGCCUGACUCCCUGAAAGGGUCUCUCCUCAGGCGGGAAGAAGGGUAGGUGCAAGAAAAAGGCAUUUGGCCAUCGGCCAUGGCUGCGGGCCUGGGUCAGGGCAGAGUGGCCCCCCUCCGACUCCCAAACAGUGGCAAGAGCCUUAGCUGGGCACUAUGGGCCCAGGACAGCAGUUAACAGUUGAGUCUUCUGGCCCUGCCUCUGGCUCCCUGUGUGGCUUCUCAGCAAAUAACCAUCCAAGGCCCCUCCCCAAAACCAGAGUCCACCCUCAGAGAGGCUGCUUCAGCCCUGGGGGGAGGAUACGGAUGCCAAACCGGAGCGACAGGAAUCCCUCCAGAUAUGCCCUCCCCUUGCCAAAACUCUCCAAGGGCUUUAAACCCAGGCAAGUGAAGGUGGAUAGAGGGAGGGGAGAGACCAGCGAGUGCCCAGUGGCUUGCAGAUGGCAGAAGUGCCCAGCCCCCCCCUUCAGACCUCGGGGUGGAUUCUCUCUGGAGACCAGGCAGGCAAGCAGAGGGACCUGUCUCAGUCGUCAAGAAGGCAUCAUCCAGGCUCAGUCAUUCUAAAAGUAUGCACUGAGCUCAGUUCUAUUUGGAGGUGGGUGAGUAAGAUACAGUCCCUGCCCUGAAGGAGUUUUCAGUCUAGCUUCUGGAUCGGCAUAUUAAAAAGCAUUUGUCAAAUGCCCACCAGGCUGAGGAGAAAUAGGGAACCAGUGAAGAUUCAGAGGGGAAGGAGAUCUGAACAAGGGCAGAGGACAGAAGGGGGACAGUUGUGAGAGAUGUGGAAAAAAAGCUGAUGUCACACCAAGUGGAAGAAAAAGAGGCAGUGUAUGACUGGUUGGCCUCUUGGAGAUAGCUUUUGAGAAGAGAAGAUGUGACCUUAGUUGGGGACUGGAGGAAGGAAGGAUCCUUUCCUACCUUCUCAUAAUGGCAGGGACAGGUGAAGGGCUCUCAUUCUCCACGUGGAACAUGCAGUCAAGUGGUUUAAGUUGUCUGCCUUGCCUCUUUCUUUCAUGUCUUCUUUUUUCCACCUUCAGCAGCUUGACCAUUGAAAGAAAGUCUGUGACAAGGGUAACAUCUACCAGAGCAGUGGAGGUUGUACAGUGGUCACUAUAUAGGGCCUGUGACAGAGAACUCAGUGAGAGGCCCCCAGAAGGAAAAUCUCAGUAGGUGUUUUACCAGACAAUUUAUCAUCAUACAGCUAAGAAAUAAAAAAUGACUAAAUAGCA